GAUGAACGCUAGCGGCAGGCUUAACACAUGCAAGUCGAGGGGCAGCGCGGGAUAGCAAUAUCCUGGCGGCGACCGGCGGAAGGGUGCGUAACGCGUGAGCGACAUGCCCGUUGCCCGGGGACAACCGGUGGAAACGCCGACUAAUCCCCGAUGGGAUAUUGUGCCGCAUGGCACGAUAUUGAAAGUUACGGCGGCGACGGAUUGGCUCGCGUCCGAUUAGCUGGUUGGCGGGGUAACGGCCCACCAAGGCUGCGAUCGGUAGGGGUUCUGAGAGGAAGGCCCCCCACAAUGGGACUGAGACACGGCCCAUACUCCUACGGGAGGCAGCAGUGAGGAAUAUUGGACAAUGGGCGGAAGCCUGAACCAGCCAUGCCGCGUGCGGGAAGGAGGCCCUAUGGGCUGUGAACCGCUUUUGCCUGGGGGCAAUAAGGGCGUCGCGCACGUCCGAUGAGAGUACCAGGCGAAUAAGCAGCGGCUAACUCCGUG
rnacentral:rRNA from 1 species